rnacentral:rRNA from 1 species
CCCUUUGGGUGUGACUGCGUACCUUUUGUAUAAUGGGUCAGCGACUUAUAUUCUGUAGCAAGGUUAACCGAAUAGGGGAGCCGGAGGGAAACCGAGUCUUAACCGGGCGUUAAGUUGCAGGGUAUAGACCCGAAACCCGGUGAUCUAGCCAUGGGCAGGUUGAAGGUUGGGUAACACUAACUGGAGGACCGAACCGACUAAUGUUGAAAAAUUAGCGGAUGACCUGUGGCUGGGGGUGAAAGGCCAAUCAAACCGGGAGAUAGCUGGUUCUCCCCGAAAGCUAUUUAGGUAGCGCCUCGUGAAUUCAUCUCCGGGGGUAGAGCACUGUUUCGGCUAGGGGGCCAUCCCGGCUUACCAACCCGAUGCAAACUGCGAAUACCGGAGAAUGUUAUCACGGGAGACACACGGCGGGUGCUAACGUCCGUCGUGAAGAGGGAAACAACCCAGACCGCCAGCUAAGGUCCCAAAGUCAUGGUUAAGUGGGAAACGAUGUGGGAAGGCCCAGACAGCCAGGAUGUUGGCUUAGAAGCAGCCAUCAUUUAAAGAAAGCGUAAUAGCUCACUGGUCGAGUCGGCCUGCGCGGAAGAUGUAACGGGGCUAAACCAUGCACCGAAGCUGCGGCAGCGACACUGUGUGUUGUUGG